GACGAACGCUGGCGGCGUGCUUAACACAUGCAAGUCGAACGGAAGGCCCCGGCUUUGUGGGGUGCCCGGGUGGCCAACCGGGGGGUAAAACCGGAGUUACCUGGCCUUGGCCUUGGGGAUAACUCCAGGAAACGGGGGCAAUAACCGGAAGGGAGCUCCGGCGGAUGGUGGGGGGUGGGAAGGUUUCGGCGGUUGGGGUUGGACUCGCGGCUUAUCAGCUGGUUGGGGGGGUAGUGGCUUACCAAGGCUUUGACGGGUAGCCGGCCUGAGAGGGUGACCGGCCACAUUGGGACUGAGAUACGGCCCAGACUCCUACGGGAGGCAGCAGUGGGGAAUAUUGCACAAUGGGCGGAAGCCUGAUGCAGCAACGCCGCGUGCGGGAUGACGGCCUUCGGGUUGUAAACCGCUUUCGCCUGUGACGAAGCGUGAGUGACGGUAAUGGGUAAAGAAGCACCGGCUAACUACGUGC
rnacentral:rRNA from 1 species